AUGCUUAGAAGCAGUAAGUAGCUUUGUUAGUGUUUUUAUGGUAAAAAUGUGUCACAAUCCAAAGCCUUUGACUAAGUAUAAGAGUUAGAGAUGAAUUAGGAGUGUUUAGACAACAGUUAUACCCAUUUUCUCCCAAAAGAGGCUAAAACCAACAAAACUUUGCUUAGAAGGAGUAAAUAGCUUUGUUAGUGUUUGUAUGGUCAAAAUGUGUCACAAUCCAAUGCAUUUGACUAAUGAUAAGAGUUUGGGAUAGAUUAGGAGUGUUUAGACAACACUUAUACCCAUUUUCUCCCAAAAGAAGUUAGAACCAACCUAAUAUUGCUUAGAAACAGUAAACACUUUUGAUAGUGUUUUUAUGGCAAAAUGUGUCACAAUCCAAUGCAUUUGACUAAUUAUAUGAGUUAGAGAUGGAUUAGGGCUGUUUAGACAACACUUAUACUCAUUUUCUGCCAAAAAAGGCUAAAACGAACAAAAUAUUGCUUAGAAGCAAUAAACAGUUUUGUUAGUGUUUUUAUGGUCAAAAUGUGUUACAAUCCAAUGUAUUGGACUAAUUAUAAGAGUUAAAGAUAGAAUAUGAGCGUUUAGACAACACUUAUACCUAUUUUCUCCUAAAAGCGGCUAAAACCAACAAAAAAAUUGCUUAGAAGCAGUAAAUAGCUUUGUUAGUGUUUCUAUGUUCAAAAUGUUUCACAAUCUAAAGCCUUUGACUAAAUAUAAGAAUUAAAGAUGGAUUAGGAGUGUUUAGACAACACUUAUACCCAUUUUCUCCUAAAAGAGUAUAAAACCAACAAAAAAUUGCUUAGAAUUAGUAAAUAGCUUUGUUUGUGUUUCUCUGGUCAAAAUGUGUCACAAUCCAAAGCCUUUGACUAAUUAUAAGAGUUAGAGAUGGAUUAGGAGGGUUUAGACAACACUUAUACCCAUUUUCUCCCAAAAGACGCGAAAACCAACAAAAAAUUGCUUAGAAUUAGUAAAUAGCUUUGAUAGUGUUUAU
rnacentral:sRNA from 1 species